UACGUAGGGGGCAAGCGUUGUCCGGAUUUAUUGGGCGUAAAGAGCGUGUAGGCGGCCUGAAAGGUCAGCCGUGAAAACUCGAGGCUCAACCUCGAGACGUCGGUUGAAACCAUCUGGCUAGAGUCCGGAAGAGGAGUGUGGAAUUCCCGGUGUAGCGGUGAAAUGACGCAGAUAUCGGGAAGAACACCCGUGGCGAAGGCGGCACUCUGGGACGGUACUGACGCUGAGACGGCGAAAAGCGUGGGGAGCGAACAGG
rnacentral:rRNA from 1 species